rnacentral:ncRNA from 1 species
UGAACAUACGGGAGUCUGUGAACAGUCUGAGAGUAAACUUAAAGUUUUGACCGAACCUGAUCUAGAUAAUGCUAGCGGAGGUAAGUAUAAAGCAAAUUUA